UUAACUCAUUUAAAAUAAAUUUUCAAUUUCAAAUUUUCUCUAUUUCUCCCUCUUUCUCUUCUCUCCCUAAGAUGGUAAGCAAUUUAAUAUAGGUUAUAUAUUUGCAAUCAUGUAAAACAUUUCCUUAUAUAAUGUGCUAUUUCUUAAAAAUCCAACCACUGGAAGUUGGUGGGGUGGGAUGGGAUUGGUGAUAGAAUGACUUCCUCUUUCUGACCUGUAAUGCCUCUUGAAUCUAAAAUGAGCCAGAUAUAUAGUAGAAAAGAGAGUGGCAAAUACUGAAAGGCCAGAGAAGUGAUUCGGGGAAAACUAUAGUUAAAUCAUUUGCCUAUUUUUAUCAAGGGUAACAUGAUACGCUUCGUACAUUUGAGUUGAAUACUGUUGGGGUAAGGACAGGCAUAUUGAACACCUAGCUGCCAUUUGCUAAUAGUUCAUCAGUGGCCCAAAGUGCCUUGUAGAGUAUUGAGGUUUUAUUAAACCUGAGAAAAAUAGGCUAUGGAUUUUGUAUGUGAGUGGUGGUAAUUCCACACUAAAGCUUUAAGUAGUUAUUUCUCUUAAUAAUGGACAUGCUUUAUAAAACUGUAUGGCAUAGUCUUUUAAAAAGUAAUUUAAUUGAAUUUAAGUAACAUGCAUUUCAGACAUUUGGGAAUACCUAGUUGUUGUUUUUUUUCCUUAUAUUUGAAGUCAUCAUCUCAUUAUUCAAACAAGCUAAUAAACCAAAAAGAUCAAAACACAACCAAGUAAAGAAUAAUGGCUUAGAGUGUUUGCUCAUAAUUGCAUUCUAAAGGGAAAAGAUGUAAAUGCUUGAAAAUUGAAAAAAGUUAUUUAAAACACAAUUAGAUCUUGAGUUCUGAUUUUAGACUUACUAUGUAAUGAGUGAUCAAUGUGACUUUUUAAAAAUCAAGAUAUUUUGAAGAAUCGUGAGUACAGUGUGCUUGAUUACAAAGAUGUUAAUUAGUAAGAGUUUAAGCAGGCUGAAGAGUAAUUUGAAAUGGAAACAUGGUCAAUAUAUUGAGAAAAUAUUUCAGUCAAUAUAAUUUGGGGCUAUUGAAUUAAAGGGAACUUAAAAAAAAAACUUUUCUUGGGUUAAUUGGAAGUGCUUUUAAGAUGUGUCUCUUAAAACUUAUUUGGAGAGGAAUGAAAGCAGAGAAUGCUUUUUUUCCCAUGUAAUUUGAUUCCUGUCAGAAUCACAUUCUUUUUCUUUUUAACAAACUAAUUUUUAUUUUACAAACCUGACAAAUCUCUUUGAACUUCAAUUUCCUUUCCCACAAGAUGAGGUGGUUGGAAAAAGUAACUUCUCAGAUCCCUUUCUAACAGUUUUUAUUUCCUUUGAGACUUAGUAACCAUUAUCUUCUGUCUUCCCUUUUCUCUAUUAAGAGAUUUAUGAUAGUAGCUUUUUUUCUUACAUUAAGACUUUGGCAAAUAUGGUGUGAUAUUAUGAAAUAUUGGUUGUCCAAAUUGAGUACCAGUAUAGAACAAUGGAUUUUGAAUCAAGAAGAGCUGAGUUCAAAAUUCCAUCUCAUACACUUAAAUGAACCAUGACAAAUCUUGUAAUUUCUCUUUGCCUCAGAUUUUUCACUUGUAAAUCAGGAAGUUGGACUAUAUGUUCCCUUCCAGCCUUAAAUCUCUGAUUCUCUGAUCCAUUUUUUCCCCAUUCUUUUCUGUCCUACUUUCCAGUCCCAAUUCCUUGUUCUUUUCAGUCUUUAUUUUCUCCUAUUUGACCCUUUUCCUUGCCAAAAAUAGGAAAUAGUUCCUCUAUGCACAAGCAAAUGCUUUAAUAGAUGCAUUGUAGAUUGUCCAUUUGUGCACACAGAUUGUCUUCAUUCUUGUCAGUUGUCUUAAGAGUGUGUGAGACCGUAGACAUGGAGUGUAUGCUACUACCUCAUUUUGAAUUACUUAGUGUUCAUGUUGAACUGAUAGGGGAGAUAGGUCAAGAUAUUUUGUCAGUAUCACUGCACUAAUUUAGGAAGAGAGUUAGAGUUAGAACUCUUAGGUCAGUGUACAAAAUCAAAGCAUUCACAUAAAUAAUGUGGUGAAUUCAGUCAAUCAACCUUGUAGGUUUUGCAGUUCCUCAUUAUUUUUGGUUGUCUCAAAAAUAUAUAUAUAUAAUUCUCAAAAUGAAGUUAAUUUAGGCAUAAUUUAACGUGAUAUCUUGUAGUUGUGUGGUGUGUUUAACUUUUCAACAUUUUUGUAUAUUUUGCUCUAUUUAAUCGUCACCACAUCAAUCUCUAGUAGUUUGAAUCUCAUUUAUCAUUUGUAGAAAUUGAGAAAUUAAAAAGAUUGUUUAGGAGUAGAAAUUAAAUCUUCCCAGGCUUUCCAUCUCAAGUUCUUUCUUGCACAUUAUAGUGACCAGUGUUUUUGUGAUAUUUUCUUUGGGGAAGUAUCUGGGGGAAGAGUUGAAUUGUCCCUCUUUCCUGCCUACACAGGGCUGCCUUGUAGGAGUAAACAGUAAUUGAGCAUCAGAGUAUGUUGGGAUUCAUACCAAAUUACUUGGUUGUAAUCAUACAAGUUUACCAAAAAAUCUUUCCAUAGACUAAAAUUCUCCAGCAGCUAUUUUGACCAUGAGGUCUAAUGGUAAAGUUUUAACAUUAUGUGAUCCUUUCCAAUCACUCUGUCUUCCAGUGCAAUAAAAAUAAUAAACAAAUAGAAAUUUAUAAUUAAGGACCAUUGGGUUUGAAUUCAAGGCUACUUUUGAAUCCUUUGCUAUUUCUUAGCUAAAUAACUUUGUGCAAAGCUAGUUUAUCUCUAUGGCCCUCAGUUUCCUUAUCUUAAAAUAAAUGGCUGAAUUAGAAUAUCUUCUAAGAAAGUCACUUCCCACUCUGAAUUCUAGAGGGCUUUUUUUUUUCCCCAAAUUGCUGACUUGUUUUUAUGUCAUUCAUUUCUGAAUAUGUUUCCCUCCUUAUUUUCCACUUUCCCUUAUAAACUUUGUAACAGAUUUUAAAAAAUAAAGAGAACAACACUUUAUCAAAACUGACAUGUAAGACUUCUAGUUUUAAAUCUGUGAUCUUAGAAUCAAAGCCAUCUGACAACCUUUAUUAUUCAAUUACAACAUUCUUCAUUUUUGCAAUGAAAGGAAGGAAAGAAAAUCUGUUUUUCAGAUUUUCAGUUCUCAGAGAUAAAGUUCAGUUAUAGUUAUAGAUUGUUUCAUUUUAUUUUUUCAACAUACAUUAUUGUAGGCAUUAAAAGAAUUAAGUGUGAAUAAUCACAUUUUACUAUGUACAAAAUCAGAACCAAUAUCACAAGUGACAAUUCAUGAUCUUUUCUAAGAUGGUCAAUGUAGCUUAUUCUUUGAAAAACUCAGUUCAUAGAACUUGCAUCAUUAGGUUGGCUAUCUAAAUUUCAGGAAGACAUAAGUAUAUAAAAGAUUUCAUAGAGGAAAGAAUUCAAGUAAGGCUUAAGGUUUGUCUAGACUUUUGCUGGUGGUUAUUUCUUACUGGAUCUUCUGAUUAUAAGCAGAAUUCAGAAAAGAUAUGAUCUGGUAGGAACAUUGGUUUAUAAGGAGAGACAGAUUUUUGAGGUCAUUCCUACACCUUGGAGUUUAUUCUCUGAUCCUUAUUUGGAUUAAAAACAUUCAAAUUGCAAAAUUUAGAAGUUUUCAAGUUGAAUAAGGAUUAAAUAAUAAUGGAAAUGAACAAAAUAUGAUGUUAAAAAUUAGUGCUUGGAAUUUUAAUUAGAUUGUAUUUAGGGGGAGAUGAAAUAAAAAACAUUUUGCAUUGAUUUUUUUUUCUGAAUUUAUUUAUUUUGGAAUUAGCUACAAUAUUUUUAUAACUCCAUGUGCUAAAGGUUUUUAUUAUUGUUUGUAUAAAAAUGAGUAUUGGAAGAUUUGGUUUAUGUUCAUUUCAGACAAAUGUUAGAUCAAUCCUCUGUGCUCUUUUCUUAUAUAGUAUGGUAUAUUGAAGUUUGUUGAAUUUAAGUUUAUACUCUAUUAAUGUGACAUAUAGGAUUUCGAAAAUGGAUUAAAAAUCUGGAGGAUUCAAUCUUUUAUGCAUAGUUUUCUUCAUGGAGCUACAUUAAAACUGACUCUGGCGUGCAAUGUAUAUAAAGGAUGCUUUCACAGAGCAGCACUUGUGUAGAGUGAUGUUAAGGUCUUUCUUCCCCAUAUUUGGAGUGGUGAUAUAAGAGCAAAUACCUCAUGUCCUUUAAUGAUUGCAGAUUCUCUUUCUUGUAGUAUGCCAGUGUGUGUGUGUAUGUGUAUGUAUGUAAGUGUGUGUGUGUAUAUAUAUAUAUAUAUACAUAUACAUAUAUAUGUACUUAGUGUAUAGUUAAGUACCAGCUUUUCCCACAUUCUGAAAUUACAGUUCAGUAACUAGCUUCAUCUCAUAAAUAAGAACACUUUGAAAUCAGGUUAAUGUUUACUGAUUUCUUUCUGAUAAAUAUCACCGUCAAAGGUCAAAAUAUGUUAUAUCCAAAGAUAAGGUGAAGGAAAGUAUUGGUGCCAGUUUUCAUAUGCUUAUGAUAAAAUUAUGGUCUGAUUUUUUUUUUUUUUGUUUGCCAAAUGGAAAUACAUUUUUUAAAAGGAAAGGAAAAAAAUCAUUUUAUGGAAAUGUUUGUAAGUAUUAACUUGUAUGUAAAAAUAUUGUUUUACCUCCCAAAAAUAUCAAUAAAAAUGUAUGGUUUCUUAGUGUAUCCUUGAAUGGGAUUCCUUUGUACAAGAACAAAUUCAGAAGACCCAUAACUGUCAUUUUAAUUUAUGUAUUUUAUGUUAUUUGACUUUAAUGAAACAUAACUUUUCCUGUUCUUUGAUACAAGGAUAUCACUUUUCAUUUCACUCUAAGUACCCUUUUAUUUUGUUUUUCUUUCAUUUAUUUGAUUAUUUAGACUAGAUUUGUUGAUUUCAUUGAUAUAGGCUAUUUUACGCAGGAAACACUUUACUAAUAAUGCAGCUUGACACCUACAAUACAACUCAUCAUCUUGUAUAAUUUUUUUGGACCCUAAAAGGUUAAACUGCUUGCCAAAGGUCUAACAACCAGAACAAUGACAACAAUGAUAAUGGUGAGAGCAUUUUAUAUAGCCCUUUAAGAUUUUCAAAGUGCUUCAUAAAUAUUAUCUCAUUUUAUGCUCAAUACAGUCCUUGGAGGUAGGUGCUGUUAUUAUUCCUAUUUUGCAGUUGAGGAAACAGAUAGUGACAAUCUAAGUGACUUCUAUCUCAACUAGUGUCUGAAUGUGAAUUUAAAUAUCCAUACCUGAAUUUAAACUUGGAUUUUCCUGACUCCGGGUCUAGCAUUCUAUUAUUAACUAAAAGAUAUCACUCUGCAUCUUUAGACUGCAUUCUCCCUAAUGAAAAAAAUAAAAAUUUACUGAAACAUUUGGGCAUUUAACACAGACUAUUUUUUGUAGUUUUUAGCAUUAUAAUAUUCUAAAGGGGUAACCACUGAUUUAGGAUUACAAUCUUUUAAUUUUAGUUUUUUUAUUUACAAAACAUAUGCAUAGGUAAUUUUUCAACAUGCUAAAAGUUUUUAGAAGUCAUGUAAUUUACCAUCCCAGAACAAGUAUCUCCUCUUGUCUUGACAACUUUCCAGGACAAACAUAUUCCUUAAGUCUCCCAAACCCCUAAUCUAGAAGUUCUUCCUAAUAUAUGUUUUCAACCUAGGCAUUGCAUAACCUUCCCUAGAAUGAGAAAAAAGCUAUUCAUUGCCACUAAUUACUUUUGAAUCUAGUUUAUAAAGACCUUAAACUUACAGAUAAGCAAUCUUAGAUCUACUCAUUUUUAACUUUAUACAUUCCACCAUGCAAUUAUGUCUACCACAUAAAUUGGGGCGAAAAGGACAUGUACUGAUUGUAAGAAUAAAUCUUUUUCUAUCAAUGUUACUGUUAAGUCUAUAUAUGUAAAAUCUGCUUUAAAGUGUGGUUACAUUCAGGUUCCAAAAGGAGAUGGAACAAUUUUCUCCUUAUAAAGGCCUCAGAUACUACCUAAGUAGGUAUGAUUUGGUUCUGGUAGCUAUCAAGCUUCCCUAUAGUCUAUAGUAAAACAUUAUAAAAACUUUUAGUUCCCCUGUGAUCCUUGUUGGCCAAAGUUAGUUCUGGGGAAACCUUAAAUUAGUUAUUUUGAUAUAGGAAUAGAAAAAAGGAGCACAGUUGGCUUCAUUAAAACCUGAAAGAGCAGUUUCCAUCCAGACUCUUUCAUGGUCAUAGCUGUGAUGAGCCUUAUUUGCAAAGAGAAGAAGACAUCUGUGGCUGUGGUUCUUAGGUAAUUUCUUUUUGAAAAGUGUCAGCUGUAUUUUUUAAUAGCUAUGUACCCUACAAGUUUUCUUUUUUGGCAAAACCCUUGAAGUUCUUUUUAAAAUGUCAUUUUCCAUUUUAAAAAUAGCAUGUGGAUAAACACAAGAUAUAUAACUUGUGUUAUAGUAGCUAACAUUUUAUCAAUCCAUUAUUGAUCUGUAAAAUAUAGUAUUUCAAAUCCUACAACAUUUUAACAAAUCUGCUACAUGGUGAUAGCAAACAUUUAAAUCCCAGUUAAAAUGUCUACUAAUUUAAGCAAUAGCCAUUGUGCUCCAAUACUAAUACAAAAAUUUAGACAAAUCUUUGAACAUUCAGGUGACUUAUGAAAACCUCCCAUCAUAAGAGGAAGGUAAUGUGAUGUAGAAGAAAGAGUAUUGCACUUGAAGUUAUGAGACCUAGAUUUAAAUUCUGCUUCUAUCAUUAGUUGUGUUAGAUUACAUAUGUUUCUUAGUCUUUCUGAGUUUUAGUUUCUUCCUCUAUAAAGCAGAUGAUCAUAUUUUCAUUGCUUUUCUUCCAAGGCUGUUAUGAUGAAAAGUACUUUGUAAACUUUCAAAUGUUAGAUACACACACACACACACACACACACACACACACAGUAAUAUGUUGUUAUAAGAUGGUAGGAUGUGACCAUCAUAGAACUAGUUUCUUUAAUAGGUAUACCAGAAAGUUUAUAUUCAAAUGAAUAUUGUCUGUCUAAGUCAUCUGUUGAGGUGAUAUAGCACUCUUAUGACAAUGACAAAGAUGCUGUCAUUGCUCAGGGAAAUGUUUUUGGAGCUCCUCUUUGGAAAAUACCUUCAAAGCUAGAUUGGGAACUAGACGACGAAAUGAAGUUAACCCACCUCAUCUAUCUUAUUUUUACCUGUUUUAUCUCUGAGUGAUGUUUUUGACUACUUUAAUCAAAGUCCACCCACAAGGGAUAAAACUUUAUUGCUAUUGCACAUAUACAAAAGAAUGAGCUAUAAACUCCAAAGAUUAUUCCAACCAAGGAAUUUCUAAAAUUUUCUAUAUAUGUAGACAGUAUUCUGCCUCUCAUGGUAUUUACUUUAAGGCGACAAACAAAUACAGUGGUAUGAUUCUGAUAUGCUUGUAAUCAGUCAAGUUGUUGUAAUGUAAAUUUAUUUUAAAAACUUGUCUAUUUUCAUUGAAUGUAUCCUUUCUGGAAUAUAUGAUGCAUAUUCUUUUCCAGAGGAAUAAUUCAGGGAAAACCUUUUUCACAGCUUGCAUAUAUACUUUGCUCAGCUUCAUGAAAAGUUAAGGAACUAUGUAUAAACCCUUUUGCCUAAGGUGAAGUGAUGAGUUAAAAUAAAGUAUAAGAUCAGUUGCCCCUAUGUUUCCUUCUUUGCCUACUAAGCCAUCCUCUUCUCUUAUUCCUGAUGUAAAUUUGUAGUUCAGACAUGGUUUCAGAUUGUCUUUGCUUAUAUAAUUUAACCCUUAUAUAAUUUUGGUUAAGCCACUUUACCUCUUAGAGUGGAUCUCAUUUUACUCCUUUAUAAAAUGAAGAAUUUGGUCUAGACCUUGGCUAAAGUUCCUUCAAGCUCUAAAUUCUGUGACCUGUUACUCUAGAAUGAAAAUGAAUUUCUGCAGUAUUUAAACUGAACCCUGUCUAAUACAAUUGGCCACAGUCUUUGAUAUAGUUUUCCUGCUCUUAAAGGAAAAGGAUUCUGUUUAUUCCAUGUAGUCAUUUCUGCAGUAUGAUAUGCAAAUGCAUAUCAUUUUAAUUUAUUAUUUCAUUGAUUAAAAAUAGUUUUUAAAACUAAAAAUAGAAUAAAUGGAAGGAACAAUUCAUUCAUUCUGGGAAUGUGCAGGCUUUCCCAUAUAACUAGUUAAUAGCAGAAUUAGGGCUAGAAUCCAAAUCCUCCUGACUUUCACUUAGGUGUUCCUUCUGAGAGGCGAUGUGAUAUAGAAUGUUGGCUAUAGGCUUACGAAGUCCUAAGUUCAAAUAUAACCUCUGACAUUUGCUAACUGUAUCACCACAAGUAAGUUAGCCUCCCUAAACCUCAAUUUUUCUCAUCUAUAAAAUGGAAAUCAUACUUGCAGGAUCUCCCUCACAGGAUUGUGAGAUUCAAAUGAGGUAAUCUAUGAAAGAUGCUCUGCAAACACUGAUUAAUCAACAUUUAUUGAAUAGUUACUAUUUGCCUUCCCCUCUCCCCCCCCCCCCAAAAAAAAAAAAAAAAAAAAAAAAAGAAA